rnacentral:rRNA from 1 species
AGAUUGAACGCUGGCGGCAUGCCUUACACAUGCAAGUCGAACGGUAGAGUAGCAAUACUUGAGAGUGGCGAACGGGUGAGUAAUAUAUCGGAACGUGCCCAGUCGUGGGGGAUAACGUAGAGAAAUUUACGCUAAUACCGCAUACGAUCUAAGGAUGAAAGCGGGGGACUCGCAAGAGCCUCGCGCGAUUGGAGCGGCUGAUAUCAGAUUAGGUUGUUGGUGAGGUAAAAGCUCACCAAGCCGACGAUCUGUAGCUGGUUUGAGAGAACGACCAGCCACACUGGGACUGAGACACGGCCCAGACUCCUACGGGAGGCAGCAGUGGGAAUUUUGGACAAUGGGCGAAAGCCUGAUCCAGCAAUGCCGCGUGCAGGAAGAAGGCCUUCGGUGUAAACUGCUUUGUACGGAACGAAACGGUCUGUCUUUAAUACAGCGGACUAAUAGACGGUACGUAAAGAAUAAAGACACCGGCUAACUACGUAGCCAGCAGCCGCGGUAAC